rnacentral:rRNA from 1 species
CCUACGGGAGGCAGCAGUGGGGAAUAUUGCACAAUGGGGGAAACCCUGAUGCAGCAACGCCGCGUGAGUGAAGAAGUAUCUCGGUAUGGAAAGCUUCAUCAGUAGGGAAGAAGAUCACGGCACCUGAUUAAGAAGCCCCGGCCAACUACGUGCCAGCAGCCGCGGCAAUACGGAGGGGGCAAGCGUUAUCCGGAUUUACUGGGUGUAAAGGGAGCGCAGACGGCUGUGCAAGUCAGGAGUGAAAGCCUGGGGCCCAACCCCGGAACUGCCCUGGAAACGGUGCGGCUAGAGUACAGGAGGGGCAGGCGGAAUUCCUGGUGUAGCGGUGAAAUGCGUAGAUAUUAGGAGGAACACCAAUGGCGAAGGCAGCCUGCUAGACAGUAACUGACAUUGAGGCUCGAAAGCGUGGGGAGCAAACAGGAUUAGAUACCCGUGUAGUC